rnacentral:rRNA from 1 species
CGCCUGGGGAGUACGGCCGCAAGGUUAAAACUCAAAUGAAUUGACGGGGGCCCGCACAGGCGGUGGAGCAUGUGGUUUAAUUCGACGCAACGCGAAGAACCUUACCUGGCCUUGACAUGCAGAGAACUUUCCAGAGAUGGAUUGGUGCCUUCGGGAACUCUGACACAGGUGCUGCAUGGCCGUCGUCAGCUCGUGUCGUGAGAUGUUGGGUUAAGUCCCGUAACGAGCGCAACCCCUAUCCCUAGUUGCUAGCAGUUCGGCUGAGAACUCUAGGGAGACUGCCGGUGACAAACCGGAGGAAGGUGGGGAUGACGUCAGGUCAUCAUGGCCCUUACGGCCAGGGCUACACACGUGCUACAAUGGCGCGCACAGAGGGCUGCAAACCCGCGAGGGGGAGCCAAUCUCACAAAACGCGUCGUAGUCCGGAUCGCAGUCUGCAACUCGACUGCGUGAAGUCGGAAUCGCUAGUAAUCGUGAAUCAGAAUGUCACGGUGAAUACGUUCCCGGGCCUUGUACACACCGCCCGUCACACCAUGGGAGUGGAUUGCACCAGAAGUGGUUAGUCUAACCUUCGGGAGGACGAUCACCACGGUGUGGUUCAUGACUGGGGUGAAGUCGUAACAAGGUAACCGUA